GUCGGCCGUAUCGGGGAUGCUGGAACCUGCGGUUGAGUGAGAAACCGGCGCCACCGCCUGCGUCUUGGUCUCGGGCUGGUGGCCAGCGGGGUCUGGGCGUGGUUUUACCCAGCUCCUUUGCGAAGCUGCUGUCCUUUCCUCAACGUUACCACCCGGCUGGGCAGCCUACCCUCGCAGCAACAGGUGUGCACCUUCCAAGCUUGCAACAGACCACAUUCAGAAGCUUGAUUUCUUGUUGUUCUGGGAAUAUCUGGAUCAGAGGACCCAACUCCUGCCCCUCCCACCCUAGCCCCUGUUCUCCCUGCCCACCUCCUACCCCACUGGAGUGGCCUUUCAUCAAACCUAAACCAAAGAAACCAACAGACCUUGCUGUCACCACUACUCCGGGACCUGGAAGUUAAAGCGAGGGAGAGACGGUGAAACACAGAAAGCAGAACGCCUUCUGUUCUUCCACAACACAGGGUUUGUGGACGUGGCCACUAUAAGAACUCGCACUGCGUGCUGAUUAUACUCCUCAGCACAAUUCAUUUCUUAAACUUUUUAGAAUAAUUUAAAAUUUACAAAAAGUUGCAAAAAUAAAAACCAGUAAACUUUUCA
rnacentral:lncRNA from 1 species